ACAUAUUCUACUUGAGUGUGACGUCAUUCCCAGCUUCGGCUUCUGAGUUCUGAGGUAAAUGAAACGCAGUAUAAU